AAGUAAUGCUUUUGGCUUUAAGUCUCUUUUGUUUGAUAUUAAUAGAGUUACACAGGCUUUGUUUGGUUAGUAUUUGCUUAGUAUAUCAUUAUGAUUUCAAGACAUUUCAUUCAAAUAGCAUGUCGCUGGAUUCCUUGGUUCAAUUACCAUAUCUCUAUUUGAACUCAAUUGUUUAUUUUGUUUAUAUUUAUUGCGAUCAGUGAUAUGUUUGGACUUAGUUCUAUAAUCCUAAUUUGUGUCAUCUACAAGUCAUGCUUUUUUCUUGUUUCUUUCCCCUCUCCCUCUCUUUUACUGGAUUAGUGGAGUUUUUCUUUAUUCCCUUUGAUUUCCUCUCUUUUGGUACUUACUCAACCUUUUAACUCUCUACCUGACCUAGAAAAAUCCCAAGUUCAUCAAAAUCUCAUCUCAGGUCACUGUCAUUCUCCAUCAGCUCUCUUACAUGUUCUUUCUUGGCCACUAUUUUAGGUUUUUUUUUUUUCCAUCCCCUUCCCCACAUUAAUUUUUUUAUACCAGGAAAUCAGUUAUUUUUACUGAUUUCCUGGUAUAGAUGAUGCUUAUUCAAAUUUACUUAUGUUUUUACCACUUACCAUAGAAAAAAAUACUUUUUGUGACCACUUCUUCUUUCUGGGUUUAAUUUCCAUCUCUCUUUAGUAGCUCUUUUAUUGUGUUUCAGUCUUCAUCUAAAAACCCCCAGUUUGCAGAACUUCUUUAGAUGGAAAUUAAGUUCCAGAUUACCUAAUAUUUCCCCUCAUCACUUUGGUAAUGAUGUUCUAUUUUCUCAUGGCCUCUGCUGUUGCUGAGAAGUCUGUUAUCAGCCAAAAUAAUUCCUUUUUUUCUCUCUGGUUGCUGAUUAUAAAAUUUAUUCAUCUUUAAGACUUCACUUUAUGAGUGUGUUUUAAAUUUAAUGAUUUGAGGUAGUUUUACAUCUUGAAUCCGAAAAUGCAUCUUUCCUCAAUUCUGAAAAAUACUUAGUUUUUGAAAAAUAGUAUUUUCUUUUGCCCAUUCUCUUUUCCCUUGCUUUCUGAAAUUCUGGUAAGAAACACAUUGGACCUUCUCAUUCUCUCUUUUUUUCUUAUCUCUUAACCUCUUUUUAAAAAU
rnacentral:lncRNA from 1 species